rnacentral:rRNA from 1 species
AGUGAACGCUGGCGGUAGGCCUAACACAUGCAAGUCGAACGGCGGCACAGUAAGAGCUUGCUCUUACGGGUGGCGAGUGGCGGACGGGUGAGGAAUACAUCGGAAUCUACUUUUUCGUGGGGGGUAACGUAGGGAAACUUACGCUAAUACCGCAUACGACCUACGGGUGAAAGCAGGGGAUCUUCGGACCUUGCGCGAUUGAAUGAGCCGAUGUCGGAUUAGCUAGUUGGCGGGGUAAAGGCCCACCAAGGCGACGAUCCGUAGCUGGUCUGAGAGGAUGAUCAGCCACACUGGAACUGAGACACGGUCCAGACUCCUACGGGAGGCAGCAGUGGGGAAUAUUGGACAAUGGGCGCAAGCCUGAUCCAGCCAUACCGCGUGGGUGAAGAAGGCCUUCGGGUUGUAAAGCCCUUUUGUUGGGAAAGAAAAGCAGCAGGUUAAUACCCCGCUGUUCUGACGGUACCCAAAGAAUAAGCACCGGCUAACUUCGUG